CCUACGGGCGGCUGCAGUGGGGAAUAUUGCACAAUGGGCGCAAGCCUGAUGCAGCCAUGCCGCGUGUGUGAAGAAGGCCUUCGGGUUGUAAAGCACUUUCAGCGGGGAGGAAGGCGGUGAGGUUAAUAACCUUGUCGAUUGACGUUACCCGCAGAAGAAGCACCGGCUAACUCCGUGCCAGCAGCCGCGGUAAUACGGAGGGUGCAAGCGUUAAUCGGAAUUACUGGGCGUAAAGCGCACGCAGGCGGUCUGUCAAGUCGGAUGUGAAAUCCCCGGGCUCAACCUGGGAACUGCAUUCGAAACUGGCAGGCUAGAGUCUUGUAGAGGGGGGUAGAAUUCCAGGUGUAGCGGUGAAAUGCGUAGAGAUCUGGAGGAAUACCGGUGGCGAAGGCGGCCCCCUGGACAAAGACUGACGCUCAGGUGCGAAAGCGUGGGGAGCAAACAGGAUUAGAUACCCUAGUAGUC
rnacentral:rRNA from 1 species